AUUGAACGCUGGCGGCAGGCCUAACACAUGCAAGUCGAGCGGAUGAAUGGAGCUUGCUUGCGGUUUCCGCGGCGGACGGGUGCGUAAUGCCUAGGAAUCUGCCUGGCAGUGGGUGAUCACGUCCGGAAACGGGCGCUAAUACCGCAUACGCCCUGAGGGAGAAAGUGGGGGAUCUUCGGACCUCACGCUAUCAUAUGAGCCUAGGUCGGAUUCGCUAGUUGGUGGGGUAAAGGCCUACCAAGGCGACGAUCCGUAACUGGUCUGAGAGGAUGAUCAGUCACACUGGAACUGAAACGCGGUCCGGACUACUACGGGAGGCGGCGGUGGGGAGUAUUGGACAAUGGGCGGAAGCUUAGUCCGACCAUGCCGAGUGGGUGGAGAAGGUCUUCGGAUUGGAGAGCACUUCUGGUUGGGAGGAAGGGCAGUAAGUUAAUACCUUGCGGUUUUGACGUUACCAAAAGAAUAAGCACCGGCUAACUUCGUG
rnacentral:rRNA from 1 species